GGGGGCCCGCAAGCGGUGGAGCAUGUGGUUUAAUUCGAUGCAACGCGAAGAACCUUACCUACUCUUGACAUCCAGAGAAUAUAGCAGAGAUGCCAUAGUGCCUUCGGGAACUCUGAGACAGGUGCUGCAUGGCUGUCGUCAGCUCGUGUUGUGAAAUGUUGGGUUAAGUCCCGCAACGAGCGCAACCCUUAUCCUUUGUUGCCAGCGAUUAAGUCGGGAACUCAAAGGAGACUGCCAGUGAUAAACUGGAGGAAGGUGGGGAUGACGUCAAGUCAUCAUGGCCCUUACGAGUAGGGCUACACACGUGCUACAAUGGCGCAUACAAAGAGAAGCAAACUUGCGAAAGCUAGCAGACCUCAUAAAGUGCGUCGUAGUCCGGAAUGGAGUAUGCAACUCGACUCCAUGAAGUCGGAAUCGCUAGUAAUCGUGGAUCAGAACGCCACGGUGAAUACGUUCCCGGGCCUUGUACACACC
rnacentral:rRNA from 1 species